rnacentral:tRNA from 1 species
GAGAUGUUAGUUAAAAUAUAAUAUUAAUUUGUCAAAUUAAAGAAGCAAUAAGCACUUCUUA